AAUAAUAAGAUGACAGUUUUUUUGAGCUAACAUAUAUCUUUACCAUUAAAGAUGCUCUUAUUUCUCAUACAAUAAGAUAAAAAAAACAAUACCGAGAUUCCAAAAGAAUGAAUAACCUAAAUGAAUCAUGUAACCUUGCAUAAUUAAACAUUGUGAUACUUCCAUGGGAUGCAUUGUAGCUUAGAGCAAGAUCCUUCCCAUAUGCUUUUGCACUUUUUAUCACUUAAUUCUCCAUCACAACAUCUACAUUCCACUCCAAGUGUAGCAAAUACCUUUGCAUACCCUAUACAUUACAUACACAUACAUGUAUCAAUAGCAUAAUUGAAUAGUAAGACUUUUUCUUGAAAACAUCAAUACACUCUCUAUUCUAGUCCUAAACUACAUCACUGUUCUUGACGACUCGAAACAUCAACCAUUUGGACUCAGAGGCACUAUGUCAACAUCUCAGGUAAUAGUCGCGUUACAACCCCCUUUGAUUAGUAGUCAAGUUUAAACAUGGAUCAUAUUAUGCUUAUCAAAGGAAAACAUAAAUUCAAACACCUUUGUAUAUUUGAAUUUAAACAUACAUAAAUGGAGACAACGUCAUUAUUUCAACGAAGUCUAAUAUGUGAUUGUUUAACAUGUUCGACUAUACAUAAACAGUAACCAUGUUAAAAUUUUCUGAGAUAGUAUAAUUUUGAGACAUGAGCUUUGUACGAGUUUAAGUGUUACCUACAAUACGAGUCAUAUCAAGCUUUAAGAACACAAGUGUUUAUUGAGUUCAGUUGUAUAUAAAUACAAACAAAUUAUAAAGAAAAUGAUAUAAAAAUUUCUUACUUUGAGGGUAAAGAGACUGUGGUCGAAAACCAAAAUCUCUUGUACAUUGUGAUGACUCAAAAAUCAUCAAAAGCAAUAGCAAGAUUCCUAGAUUCCUGAAGCUAUGCAUACCCAUUUCUUUGUGCAAAAAUAAUUUCACUUUGAUAAAAGAUUUGCAUUAAUUU
rnacentral:lncRNA from 1 species